rnacentral:tRNA from 1 species
AAGGAUUUAAGUUAAUUUUCAAACUAGGAACCUUCAAAGUUCCCAAUAUAGGUGAUAUAAGCCUUA